GAUCCCAAUGGCAGUACAUAUACUAAAAUUAGAACAAUACAGAGAAGAUUAGCAUGGCCCUGCGCAAGGAUGACAUGCAUGGCAUAAAUGAAAGAAAAAUAAAU